GACGAACGCUGGCGGCGUGCCUAAUACAUGCAAGUAGGACGCAGUUGCGAACGGGUGAGUAACGCGUAGGUAACUACCUAUUAGAGGGGGAUAACUAUUGGAAACGAUAGCUAAUACCGCAUACUAGUAGAUGGACCUGCGUUGUAUUAGCUAGUAGGUAGGGGAAUGGCCUACCUAGGCAACGAUACAUAGCCGACCGGAUAGGGUGAUCGGCGAACCUGGGAAUGGGACACGGACCAGACGCGUACGGGAGGCAGCAGGAGGGAAGCUUCGGAAAUGGGGGGAACCCUGAACGAGCAACGCCGCGUGAGUGAAGAAGGUUUUCGGAUAGUAAAGCGCUGUUGUUAAGGAAGCGGUACUUAACCAGAAAGGGACGGAUAACUACGUGCAAGCAGCCGCGGUAAUU
rnacentral:rRNA from 1 species